AGAUGGCGCCCACCUGUGGAGAGGAGUGUGUCACAUCUGUUACAUCGGGUCUGUCUCCAAACUCUGCAAACUUCACUGAGGCUGUGAACAUGAAGACAUGAGGCCUGGUGCUGCCGUUGGGGAGUACGCGUUGCUGAGGAACCUGAAGUGUCCCUUGUUGUACCAGCUGAUCAGCGACAUGCCACCCUUCAUCAUGACUCGUGAUUGGCCGCGCUGCGCUGGUGUGGAGCCGCAGACCAGCAUGCUCUGUGCUCUCUCUCCGUGCAGGUGGUGAUGAACACCGGAUCCUCGUCUAUCAAGGGCUCAUGAAGAACCUGGAGACACACAGUCAACGUUACCGCCCACAACUUCUGUUCAUCUAGAGAAGAAAGAAAAACAGGAGUUGAAUAAACUCCAGCUCACCCAAAAAUAGAAUAGUGAUCUGGAGCGCGUUGCCCUAGUUGCAUAAAUGCAGAUGUAAUUCACACAGGACAACUGAGAACAAGUCGAAGUAAAGUCUUCUGGAGGGAGCUCUGUUUAAAAUGUGUGGUUGCCUGAAGACUUGCUGCAUAAACUGUUUCUAAAGUAGGACUCUGGUAGACCUCACAAGCAAAUUCCUUCACACCUCAAAAGGUAAUCUGGGAAUCCCUUAGCUACUAGAUUAAAAACGCAUGUAUACAUUUAUGUACCACGAAUAAAACAGUACUAACA